UACGUAGGGUGCAAGCGUUAAUCGGAAUUACUGGGCGUAAAGCGUGCGCAGGCGGUUUUGUAAGUUUGUCGUGAAAGCCCCGGGCUCAACCUGGGAAUUGCGAUGAAGACUGCAAGGCUUGAAUCUGGCAGAGGGGGGUAGAAUUCCACGUGUAGCAGCGAAAUGCGUAGAGAUGUGGAGGAACACCGAUGGCGAAGGCAGCCCCCUGGGUCAAGAUUGACGCUCAUGCACGAAAGCGUGGGGAGCAAACAGG
rnacentral:rRNA from 1 species